rnacentral:rRNA from 1 species
GUGGGGAAUAUUGGACAAUGGGCGAAAGCCUGAUCCAGCCAUGCCGCGUGUGUGAAGAAGGUCUUCGGAUUGUAAAGCACUUUAAGUUGGGAGGAAGGGUUGUAGAUUAAUACUCUGCAAUUUUGACGUUACCGACAGAAUAAGCACCGGCUAACUUCGUGCCAGCAGCCGCGGUAAUACGAAGGGUGCAAGCGUUAAUUGGAAUUACUGGGCGUAAAGCGCGCGUAGGUGGUUCGUUAAGUUGGAUGUGAAAGCCCCGGGCUCAACCUGGGAACUGCAUCCAAAACUGGCGGGCUAGAGUACGGUAGAGGGUGGUGGAAUUUCCUGUGUAGCGGUGAAAUGCGUAGAUAUAGGAAGGAACACCAGUGGCGAAGGCGACUACCUGGACUGAUACUGACACUGAGGUGCGAAAGCGUGGGGAGCAAACAGGAUUAGAAACCCGGGUAGUCC